UACGUAGGGGGCAAGCGUUAUCCGGAUUGAUUGGGCGUAAAGGGUGCGUAGGCGGCAAAUCAAGUCAUAUGUCAAAGACUGCGGCUUAACUGCAGACAGACAUAAGAAACUGAUAAGCUAGAGUGCAGGAGAGGCAAGCGGAAUUCCUAGUGUAGCGGUGAAAUGCGCAGAUAUUAGGAAGAACACCAGUGGCGAAGGCGGCUUGCUGGACUGUAACAGACGCUGAGGCACGAAAGCGUGGGGAGCAAAC
rnacentral:rRNA from 1 species